GAAUCAGCGUUAUACUAGACUGCAGUGUGCUCUUAUUUCUAUAAGUGUGUGUGGAGGUGUAGAUGUUGUGUGAGAGAGGGAAAAUACAUUGAUUGAAGGAAAGAACAGUUUGAACUUAUUACAAAAACGCUUUAAAGCUCUAAAUGCCCCAAAGCACAUUACGCUUAUUGUUUUCAAUGACACACUCUAAAAUCUAUGUGUGUGUGUGUUAAUAUUUAAAAAAUAAAACUUACAAAUACCUCCAAAUUAUUGGUGUUAAUCUGGCACCUGGUGCUAAUUCUCCUUAAUUAUAUGACAAACCCUAUUUAACUGGCAACAUUCCCCCAAUUGCACUGUGAUUGUAAGAUGGAGGGCCGCUCUAAGAUGACAGGCCUAAGGGAUGACCCUUUCAGACAUUGCAAAAACAGCCAUUCAAAAUCUGUGAUUUCUUGAAUAUUGCAACUUUAAACAGUAAUGACACUAACUCCUUCAAGUCCUGGUUGUCCAGUAAGACAAAUGAAUGAGAGGACAGCACAAUGCGGAGACUCUCAAUGGGGAAGGGGUUCAGCACUGCAGCUGGAAUUGCUUGCCAGUCCAGUGCUGAAGAGGGUAUAGAUCUGAAAACGACCAAGCCUCUCAUCAGCAGAAACAAUCAAAAGGCUAGGUUUAUGUUUGCUGAGGAACAUGUUUUGUGGAGAGAGGAGAACUGGUCGAAAGUUCUCUUUAGUGAUAGCAGCAAGUUUAAUUUCUUCGGGUCUGAUGGGAAGCCUUUUGUUUGGUGUCAAACUGGGGAAAGACUGAAAUCCAAGUGCGUAAAGAAGUCAGUGAAGUGUUUUCAACAGUUCCAUUAUAUGAGUCAUGCUGCUCCAGUGAGAUCGUCUGUGUAAAGUUCUCUGCCACAGGAAGUGGCUCAUAGAGCUGAAAUCUCUGUGGAACCACACUCUCAAUUCAAGAAGCAAAGGAAUAAAACCAGAUGGAACAAGAGCCAACAUGUGAAGGUAGAAAACAAUGGGACAGGAAAAUGCCAAAAUUACUUUAUUUGGGCAAGCUCAGCUGACUCAGCCGUUUAACAGCUGCUGUAUCAAACCACACUGGAGUAUGAUGACGCUGGUGGUCGCCAGAGGACUUUGAGACAUCCGACAAACACGGACUUCAUUAUCAGAUGGAGAUCAGGGGGCCAGGACUCUCUACGUGACCUAUGCAGAAGCUGUUGAACCUGAUGCCUCCGCAGCCUGGAGAGCUACGU